rnacentral:rRNA from 1 species
UAGGGGAGUUUUCGACAAUGGGGGGCAACCCUGAUCGAGCAACGCCGCGUGUGUGAUGAAGGUCUUCGGAUUGUAAAGCACUUUUAUAAGGGAUAAAUGGUAUUGAUAGUGGAAAGAUUAAUAUUUGAUAGUACCUUAUGAAUAAGUAACGACUAACUUCGUGCCAGCAGUCGCGGUAAUACGAAGGUUACGAGCGUUAUCCGGAAUUAUUGGGCGUAAAGAGUGAGCAGGCGGUUUAUUAAGUUUGAAGUCAAAUGGAUAGGCUCAACCUAUUCUCGCUUCAAAAACUGAUAGACUAGAGUAUGUGAGAGGUAAGU